rnacentral:sRNA from 1 species
CUUCAACGACCCCAAGAACAGGGGCCGUUCACGGUCCUGCCCAUAGGUGGCGAUGACCGACUCGGCUUC